rnacentral:ncRNA from 12 species
AUUAUUUAAGGAUCGGAAAUGGCUUCCGACACGCUACUUUGUAGUAGACAGGUAUGCAGGGUACGCCGUCCUGCCAAAUAAU